GAUGAAGACGUAGCGAAAUGCGAUACGUAAUGUGAAUUGCAAAUUCAGUGAAUCAUCGAGUCUUUGAACGCACAUUGCGCCCCCUGGUAUUCCGGGGGGCAUGCCUGUCCGAGCGUCAUUGCUGCCCUCAAGCACGGCUUGUGUGUUGGGCCCCGUCCUCCGAUCCCGGGGGACGGGCCCGAAAGGCAGCGGCGGCACCGCGUCCGGUCCUCGAGCGUAUGGGGCUUUGUCACCCGCUCUGUAGGCCCGGCCGGCGCUUGCCGAUCAACCCAAAUUUUUUAUCCAGGUUGACCUCGGAUCAGGUAGGGAUACCCGCUGAACUUAAGCAUAUCAAUAAGCGGAGGA
rnacentral:misc_RNA from 1 species